CGAAACGCCUGAGAAGGUGGACGGCUGCCACAGGGUGAUGUAUGCUCCUCCGGCGGUGAAGGAGGUCUACUUUUGGGAACGUGUGCAUACUUCGAGCAUUCCUUCUGCGUGAGGGAAAGAGAAACCUGGGCUUCGCGUGCACUGAUCGUCCAGCUCUCGGGGCUGCGUGUGGGCUGUCCCCAGAGUGAGCUUUAAGGUGUGAAGAGAGGAGGUGGUGCUGCACCUGCGCAGAUUCUCAGAGGCAAAGGCGGUGACAGCCGGAGUGCAGAAAAGGGAGCCAAGACUAGAGCAGUGGCCGUAGAGAUAAUUCUGCAGACGCCUCGCCCUCAAAAUUCUAUCACGUAACACCUGGGACAUCUGAAGCAACUUCAUGUAGGGCCCACUUAAAUCUCCCAAGAGAGUCUGCCUACAAAACGUUUUAACAUGAAAAGUGAGAAGCAGCGGACAGCCACUCGCUCUGCACUAGCAAAGCUGAGGACUCGGAGACCAAAGCCAUCCCUAAAGGAGGGGAGAGGGAGGCAGUGCACUCCUGCCUUCCUGACAGGUUCUGCUUCUUCACAAAGGACAAUUUCGUAUGUAUUUACAUGCAAUGUAAUGUAUAUGUGCAGUCAAACUGUAAUAGUUCUACAUAAUAAAACUGAAAAAAGAAAAAUUGACUAAUUAAUUGUUUAAAAAAAAAAGCAGACAAGAGCCCAGAUUUGGGAUGCUCUUGAAUG